rnacentral:rRNA from 1 species
UUCAGCAGUCCAAGAAUAUUAGUCAAUGCUCGCAAGAGUGAACUAGCUAACUGAAAUUAUAAUUAUCCGGUUUCCGGAAGAGUAUGUAAUAAGGUAAGGGGAUAAUAAUGAUCUGCCCCAUUACUAUUAGUGUUGUCCAAAGCUGGUGCCAGAAGACUCGGUAAGGCCAGAAACGCAWACGUUAGUCGCAAUGAACAGGCGUAAAGGGUGUGUAGGCUGCUUUUUAAAACCACUCUUUUUAGGUUAACUACUGUUUACUCUUACAUAGAGAUGCAGAUUAAAAAGAAGGGUGACUAGAAGCUAGAAUCUUAAAGAGGUUAAACCGUAUAAUACUUAGAGUAGGGAUUAAAUCUAUAGAUACUAAGGGGAAUACUUAAAGGUGUAAGCUAUUAUCCACUAAAGAUUGACGCUGAGACACGAAGGUGAGAAAAGGAAAUAGGAUUAGAUACCCAAACUACCUCUCACAGUCAACGAUGAAUGGUAAUUGUUAAUUUUUUAUAAAUUAGCAUUGAUGUUAACGCGAUAACCAUUCCGCCUUGCGAGUACGGUUGCAAAACUGAAACCAAAAAAAUUAGUCGGCCUCGGAGCAAACGAAGUGAAGCAUGUUAUUUAAUUC